rnacentral:rRNA from 1 species
UACGUAGGGGGCUAGCGUUAUCCAGAUUUACUGGGCGUAAAGCGCACGCAGGCGGUUCGCCAAGUUUGGAGUGACAGUUGUCGGCUCAACCGACAAAGGACUUCAAAAACUGGUGAACUUGAGGACGAGAGAGGAACAUGGAACUCCAGGUGUAGUAGUGAAAUGCGUAGAUAUCUGGAAGAACACCAAUGGCGAAGGCAAUGUUCUGGCUCGUUUCUGACGCUCAGGUGCGAAAGCCAGGGGAGCGAACGGG